rnacentral:rRNA from 1 species
GAUGAACGCUAGCUACAGGCUUAACACAUGCAAGUCGAGGGGAAACGGCAUCGAAAGCUUGCUUUUGAUGGGCGUCGACCGGCGCACGGGUGAGUAACGCGUAUCCAACCUGCCCAUCACUUGGGAAUAACCUUGCGAAAGUAAGACUAAUGCCCAAUGACAUCCCACGAAGGCAUCCGAAUGGGAUUAAAGAUUUAUCGGUGAUGGAUGGGGAUGCGUCUGAUUAGCUUGUUGGCGGGGUGACGGCCCACCAAGGCAACGAUCAGUAGGGGUUCUGAGAGGAAGGUCCCCCACAUUGGAACUGAGACACGGUCCAAACGCCUACGGGAGGCAGCAGUGAGGAAUAUUGGUCAAUGGGCGAGAGCCUGAACCAGCCAAGUAGCGUGCAGGAUGACGGCCCUAGGGGUUGUAAACUGCUUUUGUAAGGGAAUAAAGUGGGUCACGUGUGACUUUUUGCAUGUACCUUAUGAAUAAGGACCGGCUAAUUCCGUG